GACGAACGUUGGCGGCGUGCUUAAUACAUGCAAGUCCACUGAAGCAGUGGUAGCAAUAUCGCUGUGGAGGUGGCGCACGGGUGAGUAACACGUAGGUAAUCUGCCUUCAGGUCUGGCAUAACUCCGGGAAACCGGGGCUAAUAGCAGAUGAUGCAGCGGCUCGACAUCGAGACAGUUGUUAAAGCUAUGGCGCCUGAAGAUGAGCCUGCGUCUGAUUAGCUAGUUGGCGGGGUAACGGCCCACCAAGGCAACGAUCAGUAGCUGGUCUGAGAGGAUGAUCAGCCACACUGGAACUGAGACACGGUCCAGACUCCUACGGGAGGCAGCAGUAAGGAAUAUUGCUCAAUGGGAGAAAUCCUGAAGCAGCAACGCCGCGUGAGGGACGAAGGGCGUUUGCUUGUAAACCUCUGUAGUGAGAGAAAAAAAUCCCAAUCUUUGGGACAUGAUGGUAUCUCAAAAGUAAGCCCCGGCUAACUACGUG
rnacentral:rRNA from 1 species